rnacentral:lncRNA from 11 species
CUUCAAGGAGCAGAGCAAGGCGGAAACUCUAGGGGGGAAAGUGAAAGAGAGAAUAUUUUAUGAGAUUGUGUGGAAACCCCCGACAACCACAACGUCUGGGUGCCUGGGAGUCUGCUUAAAAAUAAACAAAUAUCCAUGACCUCCAACAGUUGACGGAAGAAAAUAGAUGCACCGGUUUCCCCCAGCAUGACCAAGGAAUUCAGGCCAAGGGGAAAAAAGCAGCUUCUUGGAUGGAAUCUGGCAGAGGCGAAGCCUAGACAAGUCUACUCUGAAGCAGAUCAACAAACACAAGCCUUCAAAUAUUUCCUUCCAAACCUGGGGACCAAUCAGCACCAAUGACAGGCAGAGCAUCCCAGUCAACCAGCCUGUAGAUCCAAGCCAGCCACGAUCUGGACCAAUCAACAUUCAGGGCAACAGAAGUCUUUUGUUUCAAACUGCUGACAAAGUGCUAAAAUAUUUCUGUCCAUUUGCAUUGAGAUAUGUCAGUUCUUUGCAGUGCUGUCUCUGCUGACAUCCUCUCUGGCCAUUGAGAAUAAAGUCUCUGAUUUUGCCUUCAGCC